GAAGAAGAGGGGCCUUGCAUGGUGGCGAGAGCCUGCCUUUGGUAGCCAAGGAUGACUUGCCUACAUGGCAUUGCGAGUUCCGGUUGCAUGGCCAGUUCAGCUGAGUUUGUGGGCGGUCACCUUGGCUAGCCUGAGUGGCUCUUGCCUGUCAUGGAAGGCCUCUUCUUCUGUC
rnacentral:pre_miRNA from 1 species